GACAGAGGGUGCAAACGUUGUUCGGAUUUAUUGGGCGUAAAGGGUGCGUAGGCGGCGGUGUAAGUUGGGUGUGAAAUCCCGGGGCUCAACCUCGGAAUUGCAUUCAAUACUGCUUCGCUCGAGUACUGGAGAGGAGGCUGGAAUUUACGGUGUAGCAGUGAAAUGCGUAGAUAUCGGGAGGAACACCUGCGGUGUAGACGGCUUACUGGACCAUAACUGACGCUGAGACACGAAAGCGUGGGUAGCAAACAGG
rnacentral:rRNA from 1 species